AGUGAACGCUGGCGGUAGGCCUAACACAUGCAAGUCGAGCGGCAGCACAGUAAGAGCUUGCUCUUACGGGUGGCGAGUGGCGGACGGGUGAGGAAUACAUCGGAAUCUACUUUUUCGUGGGGGAUAACGUAGGGAAACUUACGCUAAUACCGCAUACGACCUACGGGUGAAAGCAGGGGAUCUUCGGACCUUGCGCGAUUGAAUGAGCCGAUGUCGGAUUAGCUAGUUGGCGGGGUAAAGGCCCACCAAGGCGACGAUCCGUAGCUGGUCUGAGAGGAUGAUCCGCCACACUGGAACUGAGACACGGUCCAGACUCCUACGGGAGGCAGCAGUGGGGAAUAUUGGACAAUGGGCGCAAGCCUGAUCCAGCCAUACCGCGUGGGUGAAGAAGGCCUUCGGGCUGUAAAGCCCUUUUGUUGGGAAAGAAAAGCAGCAGGUUAAUACCCCGCUGUUCUGACGGUACCCAAAGAAUAAGCACCGGCUAACUUCGUG
rnacentral:rRNA from 1 species